rnacentral:rRNA from 1 species
UAUCCCUGAGAGUCGUGGAAGACCACCACGUUGAUAGGCUGGGUGUGUAAGCGCGGCAACGCGUUGAGCUAACCAGUACUAAUCACUCGAUCGGCUUGAUCUC